GAAGUUUAUAGACAGUAUCUUCAAUUCGUUAAAGCCUGACUUCUCUCUACGAGCUACGUGGUCAUGAUAUUGGGAUGAAGAAGAAGCUUUCCUACGUAGGAAUAUGCAGGAACAAAGGGCAAGAAAUCAGGAUGCUACCAAAAGUUGAAAUAUUUUCUUGGAUCCCAAUUUUGAUGGAAUCUUGAAGUGAAGGGAAGAAAAGGGUUUGUCAAGCUUUCUUUAAAUUUGAGUAAAUUAGUAGACUUUUUCUUUCAUGGGGUUGCCAUGAAAAGAAGGAAGAGCUAGCCAUGUGGGUCAUCCUUUGUUUUCCUUGCUUUUCUUCAUUACUCUAUCUUAAUUUCUUUUGUUUUAUUACCCUUUAUAGCUUUCAAAGUUUUCAUCCCUCUGCCUAUUUUCAUAUGAAUACAUAGUUGUGCUACUCACUUUCAAAGCUUUUCUAACCGCAUGGUAUUCAUAAAAUUCCUACCUGCAUUUUAUCGAUUUC
rnacentral:lncRNA from 1 species